CGCGCGGGCGGCCGCGAGCGCCCGGCGUGAAAGCCCCCGGCUCAACCGGGGGAGGCCGUCGGGGACCUCGGGGCUGGAGGCCGGUAGGGGCGAGCGGAAUUCCCGGUGUAGUGGCGGAAUGCGUAGAGAUCGGGAGGAACACCAGUGGCGAAGGCGGCUCGCUGGACCGGUCCUGACGCUCAGGCGCGAAAGCGUGGGGAGCGAUCC
rnacentral:rRNA from 1 species